rnacentral:rRNA from 1 species
UAGGUGGCAAGCGUUAUCCGGAUUUACUGGGUGUAAAGGGCGUGUAGGCGGGAGAGCAAGUCAGAUGUGAAAGCCCGGGGCUCAACCCCGGGACUGCAUUUGAAACUGCCGGACUAGAGUGCCGGAGAGGUAAGUGGAAUUCCUAGUGUAGCGGUGAAAUGCGUAGAUAUUAGGAGGAACACCAGUGGCGAAGGCGGCUUACUGGACGGUAACUGACGUUGAUGCACGAAAGCGUGGGGAGCAAA